UACGGAGGGGGCUAGCGUUGUUCGGAAUUACUGGGCGUAAAGCGCGCGUAGGCGGACCUGCAAGUCGGGGGUGAAAGCCCGAGGCUCAACCUCGGAACUGCCUUCGAUACUGCGGGUCUCGAGUCCGGGAGAGGUGAGUGGAAUUCCUAGUGUAGAGGUGAAAUUCGUAGAUAUUAGGAAGAACACCAGUGGCGAAGGCGGCUCACUGGCUCAGUACUGACGCUGAGGCGCGAAAGCGUGGGGAGCAAACAGG
rnacentral:rRNA from 1 species